rnacentral:lncRNA from 1 species
UCCAUACUGCAUUAUAUUAAUUGAUAGCCAGAAAAAAUGACUUGCCUUUUGACACACCUUUAGAGAAGUAAUGCCGCAUUUCUAAGACGGGAUGAACGAGACAUAAAUGGAGAAUAUUCAAAUACACUUGAUGCUUGUGCUUUAUACUACUAACCCCAACUAUAUAUUGAUAUAAGAUUGCAAUACCAGCCCCACUUUGGUGAAAAUAAUCCACUGAGCAAAACUUAUAUCGAAUAUGAACUUAAUAUAGGUAUAUUCCAUCUUUAUUCUGAAAAGCCCACCGAUUGCUAAAGAAAACUCCUGAUCGUCCCCUUCUCCAUAUUAUUUAGCCUGAAGUUACAUUUACCUGCAUUUAUAGUUUGUUUGUGUAUGUACAUAUAACUUUAUCAUACAAAAGCUCCAUGCUAUAAGAAGAAAUUAAAGAACGAGAUCAGAAUGAUUGCAUAAAAGUACCAUGGCUUAAGUGAGUUUAACCGUCAAACCAGAAGCACGGCGGCCCAGCCGCCAUACAUGGACGACAAAUUUUUCCAAAGAUCAAUCGGCUGAUUAUUAUACUAUUGUGUUAAAGAGAUCUUCGUUUUUUUUUCCUCUCUGGAGCUUGAUCUGCAUCUCUGAGGAAGUUCUUUCCUUUUAAGCAAAGCACAGAAGGUAUUAUAAAAAAAUUAAAAG